CCUACGGGUGACAGCAGUGAGGAAUAUUGGUCAAUGGACGAGAGUCUGAACCAGCCAAGUAGCGUGAAGGAUGACUGCCCUAUGGGUUGUAAACUUCUUUUAUAUGGGAAUAAAAUGUUCCACGUGUGGGAUUUUGUAUGUAACAUAUGAUUAAGGAUCGGCUAACUCCGUGCCAGCAGCCGCGGUAAUACGGAGGAUCCGAGCGUUAUCCGGAUUUAUUGGGUUUAAAGGGAGCGUAGGUGGAUUGUUAAGUCAGUUGUGAAAGUUUGCGGCUCAACCGUAAAAUUGCAGUUGAAACUGGCAGUCUUGAGUACAGUAGAGGUGGGCGGAAUUCGUGGUGUAGCGGUGAAAUGCUUAGAUAUCACGAAGAACUCCGAUUGCGAAGGCAGUUCACUGGACUGCAACUGACACUGAGGCUCGAAAGUGUGGGUAUCAAACAGGAUUAGAUACCCCUGUAGUC
rnacentral:rRNA from 1 species